rnacentral:rRNA from 1 species
GAUGAACGCUAGCUACAGGCUUAACACAUGCAAGUCGAGGGGAAACGGCAUCGAAAGCUUGCUUUUGAUGGGCGUCGACCGGCGCACGGGUGAGUAGCGCGUAUCCAACCUGCCCAUCACUUGGGAAUAACCUUGCGAAAGUAAGACUAAUGCCCAAUGACAUCCCACGAAGGCAUCCGAAUGGGAUUAAAGAUUUAUCGGUGAUGGAUGGGGAUGCGUCUGAUUAGCUUGUUGGCGGGGUGACGGCCCACCAAGGCAACGAUCAGUAGGGGUUCUGAGAGGAAGGUCCCCCACAUUGGAACUGAGACACGGUCCAAACUCCUACGGGAGGCAGCAGUGAGGAAUAUUGGUCAAGGGGCGAGAGCCUGAACCAGCCAAGUAGCGUGCAGGAUGACGGCCCUAUGGGUUGUAAACUGCUUUUAUAAGGGAAUAAAGUGGGUCACGUGUGACUUUUUGCAUGUACCUUAUGAAUAAGGACCGGCUAAUUCCGUG